GAUGAAGAACGUAGCGAAAUGCGAUAAGUAAUGUGAAUUGCAGAAUUCAGUGAAUCAUCGAAUCUUUGAACGCACCUUGCGCCUUUUGGUAUUCCGAAAGGCAUGCCUGUUUGAGUGUCAUGAAAUCUCAAUCCUCCUAGGUUUUUGACCUGGUUGGACUUGGACAUGGGCGUCUGCCAGCAAUGGCUCGCCUUAAAUGACUUAGUGGAACAUCCUACAUCAGUGUUAGACGUAAUAAGUUUCGUCUCUCCUUGUGGUGAUGACUGCUCAUAAUCUGCCAUCGCGCACUUUUGACUUUGACCUCAAAUCAGGUAGGGCUACCCGCUGAACUUAAGCAUAUCAAUAAGCGGAGGA
rnacentral:misc_RNA from 1 species